AUGAGAAGAACACAAUUAAGUGAGAGCUUGAAUAGUGACUUGAAAGACCAUUUGAAGUCUGAUCUUGACAUUCUUCGUUUUUUCAAGCACGUAGAGAGGGUUGUGCAAGGAAAGAGAGAUAAAGAGCGAUGGACUCGAGAAGCACGAAGCGGCACUAUUCAAAACAGCCAUGGCAACAUUGUUUUGGAAGACCCUAGAUCGGAAGAUAGGCAGCAACUGAAGUUUUUCAUGCACGAGUUCCUUGGCAUAGCUUCCCAAGCAGUUGCAUCAGAAGAGUGCAUCAAAUUAGUAGAUGAUGCUUUGAAGAAUCUAAAGAAGCAAGUUGAAGACAAAGCUCCUACUACUACAUGCAGAACUGAAGCCAUAUCUCAGGAACCAGACAUUUGUUUGCAAACAGCUUGCCUGAAGAAAAAGGAAAUUCAGCAGAAGACUUCAAAAAGGAAGAAAUCAUGGCUUGAUAAUCAACAUCCCAGUAAAAAGAAAAAAGGGGCAGCU
rnacentral:rRNA from 1 species